AUUGAACGCUGGCGGUAUGCUUAACACAUGCAAGUCGAACGGUAACAGGCCUUCGGGCGCUGACGAGUGGCGGACGGUGAGUAACGCGUAGGAAUCUGCCUCAUAGUGGGGGACAACGUGGGGAAACUCACGCUAAUACCGCAUACGCCCUACGGGGGAAAGCGGGGGAUCUUCGGACCUCGCGCUAUGAGAUGAGCCUGCGUUAGAUUAGCUAGUUGGUAGGGUAAAGGCCUACCAAGGCGACGAUCUAUAGCUGGUCUGAGAGGACGAUCAGCCACACUGGGACUGAGACACGGCCCAGACUCCUACGGGAGGCAGCAGUGGGGAAUAUUGGACAAUGGGCGCAAGCCUGAUCCAGCAAUACCGCGUGUGUGAAGAAGGCCCUAGGGUUGUAAAGCACUUUCAAUUGGGAGGAAAACCUGCCGGUCAAUACCCGGCAGCUUGACAUUACCUUUAGAAGAAGCACCGGCUAACUCCGUGCCAGCAGCCGC
rnacentral:rRNA from 1 species